rnacentral:rRNA from 1 species
GGCGUGGAUUAGGCAUGCAAGUCGAGCGAGAAGUUUACUUCGGUAAAUGGACAGCGGCGAAAGGGACAGUAAUGUGUAGGUACCUACCCCCAGAUCUGGGAUAGCUGCGGGAAACUGCAGGUAAUACCGGAUAAUGUCUUCGGACCAAAGGUGUGAUUCCGUCAGGGGAGGGGCCUGCAUCCUAUUAGCUUGUUGGUGAGGUAAUGGCUCACCAAGGCAACGAUGGGUAGCGGGUGUGAGAGCAUGACCCGCGUCAUUGGGACUGAGACACUGCCCAGACAUCUACGGAUGGCUGCAGUCGAGAAUCUUCGGCAAUGGGCGAAAGCCUGACCGAGCGACGCCGCGUGCGGGAUGAAGGCCCUCGGGUUGUAAACCGCUGUCGUUGGGGAGGAAAUGCAAAAGGGUUAUCCCUUCUGUUUGACCGAUCCAA